UCUUCCGCAAUGGAAGAAAGUCUGACGGAGCAACGCCGCGUGAGGGAUGAAGGUUUUCGGAUCGUAAAACUCUGUUGUUAGGGAAGAACAAGUACCGUUCGAAUAGGGCGGCACCUUGACGGUAACUAACCAGAAAGCCACUGCUCACUACGUGCCAGCAGCCGCGGUAAUACGUAGGUGGCAAGCGUUGUCCGGAAUUAUUGGGCGUAAAGCGCGCGCAGGCGGUUUCUUAAGUCUGAUGUGAAAGCCCCCGGCUCAACCGGGGAGGGGCAUUGGAAAAUGGGGAACUUGAGUGCAGAAGAGGAGAGUGGAAUUCCACAUGUAGCGGUGAAAUGCGUAGAGAUGUGGAGGAACACCAGUGGCGAAGGCGACUCUCUGGUCUGUAACUGACGCUGAGGCGCGAAAGCGUGGGGAGCGAACAGG
rnacentral:rRNA from 1 species